GGACCCAAGGAAGUAAGGUUAUUUUCCAAGGUCAAACAGCAAGUCUGUAACAUAGCCUCAGGCUUCCUGCCCCACUGCCCUCUAGGAGACUUCCUGCCUGGGAGCCCAGCCUCACUGUCCUCUCCCUCCUCCCUGCAGUGACUUUGAAUACACCCUGGGCUCCCCCAAAGCCAUCCACAUCAAGUCAGGCGAGUCACCCAUGGCCUACCUCAACAAAGGCCAGUUCUACCCCGUCACCCUGCGGACCCCAGCAGGUGGCAAAGGCCUUGCCUUGUCCUCCAACAAAGUCAAGAGUGUGGUGAUGGUUGUCUUCGACAAUGAGAAGGUCCCAGUAGAACAGCUGCGCUUCUGGAAGCACUGGCAUUCCCGGCAACCCACUGCCAAGCAGCGGGUCAUUGACGUGGGUGUUCAUCGGCGUAAACUGUCUGAGCACAGACUUUUCCUCACAAAAGGGGGUGAAGGGUGUCCCCCUGAACCUGCAGAUU
rnacentral:sRNA from 1 species